GACGAACGCUGGCGGCGUGCUUAACACAUGCAAGUCGAACGGAAAGGCCCUGCUUUUGUGGGGUGCUCGAGUGGCGAACGGGUGAGUAACACGUGAGUAACCUGCCCUUGACUUUGGGAUAACUUCAGGAAACUGGGGCUAAUACCGGAUAGGAGCUCCUGCUGCAUGGUGGGGGUUGGAAAGUUUCGGCGGUUGGGGAUGGACUCGCGGCUUAUCAGCUUGUUGGUGGGGUAGUGGCUUACCAAGGCUUUGACGGGUAGCCGGCCUGAGAGGGUGACCGGCCACAAUGGGACUGAGGUACGGCCCAGACUCCUACGGGAGGCAGCAGUGGGGAAUAUUGCACAAUGGGCGGAAGCCUGAUGCAGCAACGCCGCGUGCGGGAUGACGGCCUUCGAGUUGUAAACCGCUUUCGCCUGUGACGAAGCGUGAGUGACGGUAAUGGGUAAAGAAGCACCGGCUAACUACGUG
rnacentral:rRNA from 1 species